GGAAAAGAAACUAUCAAGGAUUCCCCUAGUAACUGCGAGUGAAGCGGGAAAAGCUCAAAUUUAAAAUCUGGCUUAGCUUCGCCGCCCGAGUUGUAAUCUAGAGAAGCAUUAUCAGCGCUCGCGGCGUGUACAAGUGUCCUGGAAUGGACCAUCAUAGAGGGUGACAAUCCCGUCUUUGACACGGCUGCCUUUAGUGCUAUUGAUGUGCUCUCAACGAGUCGAGUUGUUUGGGAAUGCAGCUCUAAAUGGGUGGUAAGUUCCAUCUAAAGCUAAAUAUUGGCGAGAGACCGAUAGCGAACAAGUACCGUGAGGGAAAGAUGAAAAGAACUUUGGAAAGAGAGUUAAACAGUACGUGAAAUUGCUGAAAGGGAAACGCUUGAAGUCGGUCGCGUUGGCUGGGUAAAUUCGAGAAAUCAACCUUGCUUUCUUGAAAGCUUGGCUUAUUUCCCAGCUGACGGGCCAGCAUCAGUUUUGACCGGUGGAUAAAGGCCAAGGGAAUGUGGCACCUCUUGGGGUGUGUUAUAGCCCUCGGUCAUAUACAUCGGUUGGGACUGAGGAACUCAGCACUUGUUGCUUAGGAUGCUGGCAUAAAGGCUUUAAGCGACCCGUCUUGAAACACGGACCAAGGAGUCUAACAUGCCCGCGAGUGUUUGGGUGGAAAACCCGAGCGCGCAAUGAAAGUGAAAGUUGAGAUCCCUGUCAUGGGGAGCAUCAAUGCCUGGACCAGAGCUUUUGUGAUGGAUCCACGGUAGAGCGUGUAUGUUGGGACCCGAAAGAUGGUGAACUAUGCCUGAAUAGGGUGAAGCCAGAGGAAACUCUGGUGGAGGCUUGUAGCGAUUCUGACGUGCAAAUCGAUCGUCAAAUUUGGGUAUAGGGGCGAAAGACUAAUCGAAUCAUC
rnacentral:rRNA from 1 species